GAAACUUAAAGGAAUUGACGGGGACCCGCACAAGCGGUGGAGCAUGUGGUUUAAUUCGAAGCAACGCGAAGAACCUUACCAACUCUUGACAUCCCCCUGACCGGUACAGAGAAGUACUUUUUCCUUCGGGGGCAGGGGUGACAGGUGGUGCAUGGUUGUCGUCAGCUCGUGUCGUGAGAUGUUGGGUUAAGUCCCGCAACGAGCGCAACCCUUGUCCUUAGUUGCCACCAUUCAGUUGGGCACUCUAAGGAGACUGCCGGUGACAAACCGGAGGAAGGUGGGGAUGACGUCAAACCAUCAUGCCCCUUAUGAGUUGGGCUACACACGUGCUACAAUGGACGGUACAAAGGGCAGCGAAGCCGCGAGGUGGAGCCAAUCCCAGAAAGCCGUUCUCAGUUCGGAUUGCAGGCUGCAACUCGCCUGCAUGAAGUCGGAAUCGCUAGUAAUCGCAGGUCAGCAUACUGCGGUGAAUACGUUCCCGGGUCUUGUACACACCGCCCGUCACACCACGAGAGUUUGUAACACCCGAAGUCGGUGAGGUAACCUUAGGGAGCCAGCCGCCGAAGGUGGGACAGAUGAUUGGGGUGAAGUCGUAACAA
rnacentral:rRNA from 1 species